UAUAAAUGGUUAGUCAGCACACGCAACAAGGGGAAGACAAGGGUGGUUAAUUGUCCACAGAAAGGAAACAGAGGUCUGAUAGAGGGACGGCCUAUGAUCAUCAAACUUGUGUGUGUGUUAGCAGCGAACAGUCUACUAGUUUUCUUCUGUGGUGUUUGACAAGUAAAAAUGAUAAUUCUAUCAGUGAUCAACUUUCUCCUGUUAGUGUCUGAUGCAACAGGGAUUACUCGGGUCAACACUACUGUCGGGAAAUCAACAAUACUUCCGUGUUUGAUGAACAACACUAUUACUAAUUUAAGUAAUCUACGAUUUUACUGGCAAGAUAACAGAAAGGCUGUUUUAUACUCUUUUAAUAAAGGAAAAGAGAUGCCAAAACAUGUGGACACACUAUAUCGAGACAGGAUCAAAGUUUUCCAUCAGGACAUGAUAAGAGGAAAUGUCUCAGUCAAACUUACAAACACAACACUCGAAGAUGACCAAAAGGUUUUCCAUGUUUAUGCACAAGUUUUUGAAAGCCGAGGGACUAUGAGCGAAGGUGAAAACAAUCAAAUCUGCCAAAUGACUUUACAUGUUGCAGCUCCAUACGAGGAUAUCAGCCUGGCUGUAUAUGAUAAGGUGACUGCAGUCUGCACUGCACAAAAAGGAUUCCCUGAGUCGUCGGUAAGCUGGAGACUUCAGCAGCUCAACAAAUCCCAACACUUUUUAGCCUCGAGUGACGUCCAAACUACAGCAGAGCAGGACCCUAAAGAUCAUCUCUACCGUCUCAGAAGCACCAUACAGAUUCAUGGAGGUCCAUAUCUAUCUGCAACGUGCCUCAUCCACAACCCUACCCUCAAUGCGACUCAGAGCCACAACUACACUUUAAACCACAGUGGAGCAGAGAGGGGCCCCCCUGCCUUGACUGCAGUGCUAAUGAUGGCUGCUGUUCUCCUCUGGAUCUGAAUUUUAUGAAGCUCCUCAAAUGUGACUUUUCUUUUUAAUUCCAGGGCAUUUCAUUUAUCAGAUAUCAAACAUGAGAGAAAUGACAUCAUUAUGAAUGUUCUGUCUUUUCUUUCUUGUAGAAAUGAAAGGAUGUGUUGGGUGAAAAACGUCUGCAGCACUUUUUACAUUUCACAACAUCUUUUACCUAUUUCCCAUCUAAUGAAAUGUUUCUGAAUUCCAUAAAUCAUGAAUCACACUGUGAACUUGGUAUAAACCAGCUUAAUAAUAAUAGCUCAAUAUAGCAUAUAUUUGUUUUCACAACAUUAUCAAGAUAUAAGUGUGAUUGUGAAUUUCUCCUAAAUGCUGUUUAAAAAGGAAAAGGAGAAGUGUCCUUGGGGAAGUUACUGAACCCCAGAUUGCUCCCGUGGGCAUGUCUACCAUAUUAAAGUAAAUGCAAGCCACUUUGGAUAAGUGUCAGCUUGAAGUUGUUAUCUUAACUUUUCUUAAUGACCAUUUACCUCUUUUAUGUAUUUGUUAUUUGUUCUUUUUAUGUUUUGUUUUGUUUGUUAUUUAAUAACAAAGUUAUUUUGGAUGGUGGAUGUAAAAAUAUAGUAAAAGAAUAAUAUCUAUAUAUACAGCCGCCGAAAAAAACAGGAGACCACUUCAGCAUUAUCACUUUCUCUUGUUUUAUUAUUUAUAUGUUCUUUGAGUUAAAUUAUUUUUAAAUUUUAUUCUAUAAACUACUGGCAACUUUGCCACAGUUUCUUCGAAAAAGUAAUUUGUUUACUGUUCAUUCCUUUAAAAAGUAACUUAGUUACUUUAGUGAUUACUUGAUUUUAACAAUAACUAAGUUAGAUUACAAGUUACUUUAUUACUAACCUUAAUGUUGUCAUCUUUAGCUGACACAAACUCAAAAUAGUGCCUGUAUUUCCAGCUAGAAAACCCGCAUCUCUCCUCCCUCCAUUGUUGUUUACGUUUGUGUCGCUGCGUGGUAUUACACGUGAGGUGUCCUCGUGCUGAAAACGUGACUUAAUUGUUGCAUAGACGUCACUCCCCGAGACGCAAGAAGAAAGCAAAAAUAAAUCUUUUUACUAAGGAAAAUGACAAAAAUAGUAACUCACAGUGACUUGGAUAAGUAACUUUAAUCUGAUUACUGGUUUGGAAAUAGUAACGCGUUAGAUUACUCGUUACUAAAUCGGUAACGAGUUACUUAGUAGCGCGUUUACCGACAUUACUGUUCAACACACACUGUAAUGGCUGCCAUACAUGUAGAGAUAAAGAUUUAAGAACAGAUUGGAGUGGUCUCUUAAUUUUUUCCGCGGCUGUAGGCUAUAUAUAUUGUAGUAAUAAUGAUAUCAUCUAUUUAUAAUUGGAAAUGUAUAAUUUAUGUAGACAUACAUUUAGAUGAACAUUUUGUUAAAGAAUAAAACAAGCGUAAAUAAUUUGGUUUUUGGAAGAAGGGAUGGGAUUAAACAAGUUUAAUCUUCUUCCCACCCCUUUUCGGAUGUGUAAUCAGGUAGAUCAAUUUAUAUCAUUUGUAAAUAAUAUUUUUUGUUUUUCAAUUUGAUACGGCUUAAGUUUGAACAUUAUCAUAAUUUUCUUGUUUCAUUUCAUUAUUUUAAUACUUUUUUUGUAUUAUUGUUUUACACGUUAAAAAUAAAUCAAAUCAAAUCGAAA